UAGGAGGAAUAUGCCCAGACUUGUUGCAUCCACAGCACUGGAAGGGUGAUUUUAACGCACUGAAGUGCAGCACCUAUUCUGUUUCAGACAGAGGUCACUGUCACCCCCACUGAGAGGGGGAGGACAGGGACCGGGGACAGGACCCUUCAGCACCUCUUUGCUUUGACAAUGGCUCACUUCUGCCCGGCUAAACGGGGAUCUCCUCAUCCUGCUGUCAACUCAUCACUCCCUGUCCAACCAUUAUACCUCUGUCCCUGCACACUGGAUGAAAAAAUCAGCUAACGUUACUCCUGUUUGCACCAAGUAGGGAAAAAAGCAAGAUCAACAUGGAGGGAUGGUGAGAAGUGUGCAAAAAUGGCAUCAAUCAUGUUAUCACAUCUCAGCAGUAACAUUUUAGUUCUACCCAAAGUUUAAAAAAAUCAAAGAAGAAUUUUAAACAGAGGUAACUUUGCUGGAGGUCGGGGAGGAGAGGGAGGGGAGGUUGAUCAUGAGAAAUGGCCCUUUUGCUCCCUCCUGUGGGCAAAGCUGUCCCAUUGGACCGAGUGUCUGUCUUUUCAAUGUAUUUUAUUUAUGAAAGCGACUUUUCUAAAUGAGGCAAAGCUUGAUUCCAGAAAAAGAUAGUGAACAGCAGAAUAUAGCAGUACUGUAAAGUUAAUAUUUUAUCAUUGCGGUAAGAAGUUUUCAGUCAA